AUAGUGUUUACAAGGUGUUAGGACAUAUCAUGUUCACUGUUACAGAAGGUUCCCAGAGUGUCGUAGUGUUUACAAGGUGUUAGGACAUAUCAUGCUCACUGUUACAGAAGGUUCCCAGAGUGUCAUAGUGUUUACAAGGUGUUAGGACAUAUCAUGCUCACUGUUACAGAAGGUUCCCAGAGUGUCGUAGUGUUUACAAGGUGUUAGGACAUAUCAUGCUCACUGUUACAGAAGGUUCCCAGAGUGUCGUAGUGUUUACAAGGUGUUAGGACAUAUCAUGCUCACUGUUACAGAAGGUUCCCAGAGUGUCGUAGUGUUUACAAGGUGUUAGGACAUAUCAUGCUCACUGUUACAGAAGGUUCCCAGAGUGUCGUAGUGUUUACAAGUUGUUAGGACAUAUCAUGCUCACUGUUACAGAAGGUUCCCAGAGUGUCAUAGUGUUUACAAGGUGUUAGGACAUAUCAUGCUCACUGUUACAGAAGGUUCCCAGAGUGUCGUAGUGUUUACAAGGUGUUAGGACAUAUCAUGCUCACUGUUACAGAAGGUUCCCAGAGUGUCGUAGUGUUUACAAGGUGUUAGGACAUAUCAUGCUCACUGUUACAGAAGGUUCCCAGAGUGUCGUAGUGUUUACAAGGUGUUAGGACAUAUCAUGCUCACUGUUACAGAAGGUUCCCAGAGUGUCGUAGUGUUUACAAGGUGUUAGGACAUAUCAUGCUCACUGUUACAGAAGGUUCCCAGAGUGUCGUAGUGUUUACAAGGUGUUAGGACAUAUCAUGCUCACUGUUACAGAAGGUUCCCAGAGUGUCGUAGUGUUUACAAGGUGUUAGGACAUAUCAUGCUCACUGUUACAGAAGGUUCCCAGAGUGUCGUAGUGUUUACAAGGUGUUAGGACAUAUCAUGCUCACUGUUACAGAAGGUUCCCAGAGUGUCGUAGUGUUUACAAGGUGUUAGGACAUAUCAUGCUCACUGUUACAGAAGGUUCCCAGAGUGUCGUAGUGUUUACAAGUUGUUAGGACAUAUCAUGCUCACUGUUACAGAAGGUUCCCAGAGUGUCAUAGUGUUUACAAGGUGUUAGGACAUAUCAUGCUCACUGUUACAGAAGGUUCCCAGAGUGUCGUAGUGUUUACAAGGUGUUAGGACAUAUCAUGCUCACUGUUACAGAAGGUUCCCAGAGUGUCGUAGUGUUUACAAGUUGUUAGGACAUAUCAUGUUCACUGUUACAGAAGGUUCCCAGAGUGUCGUAGUGUUUACAAGGUGUUAGGACAUAUCAUGCUCACUGUUACAGAAGGUUCCCAGAGUGUCGUAGUGUUUACAAGGUGUUAGGACAUAUCAUGCUCACUGUUACAGAAGGUUCCCAGAGUGUCGUAGUGUUUACAAGGUGUUAGGACAUAUCAUGCUCACUGUUACAGAAGGUUCCCAGAGUGUCGUAGUGUUUACAAGGUGUUAGGACAUAUCAUGCUCACUGUUACAGAAGGUUCCCAGAGUGUCGUAGUGUUUACAAGGUGUUAGGACAUAUCAUGCUCACUGUUACAGAAGGUUCCCAGAGUGUCGUAGUGUUUACAAGGUGUUAGGACAUAUCAUGCUCACUGUUACAGAAGGUUCCCAGAGUGUCGUAGUGUUUACAAGGUGUUAGGACAUAUCAUGCUCACUGUUACAGAAGGUUCCCAGAGUGUCGUAGUGUUUACAAGGUGUUAGGACAUAUCAUGCUCACUGUUACAGAAGGUUCCCAGAGUGUCGUAGUGUUUACAAGGUGUUAGGACAUAUCAUGCUCACUGUUACAGAAGGUUCCCAGAGUGUCGUAGUGUUUACAAGGUGUUAGGACAUAUCAUGCUCACUGUUACAGAAGGUUCCCAGAGUGUCGUAGUGUUUACAAGGUGUUAGGACAUAUCAUGCUCACUGUUACAGAAGGUUCCCAGAGUGUCGUAGUGUUUACAAGGUGUUAGGACAUAUCAUGCUCACUGUUACAGAAGGUUCCCAGAGUGUCGUAGUGUUUACAAGUUGUUAGGACAUAUCAUGCUCACUGUUACAGAAGGUUCCCAGAGUGUCGUAGUGUUUACAAGGUGUUAGGACAUAUCAUGCUCACUGUUACAGAAGGUUCCCAGAGUGUCGUAGUGUUUACAAGGUGUUAGGACAUAUCAUGCUCACUGUUACAGAAGGUUCCCAGAGUGUCGUAGUGUUUACAAGGUGUUAGGACAUAUCAUGCUCACUGUUACAGAAGGUUCCCAGAGUGUCGUAGUGUUUACAAGUUGUUAGGACAUAUCAUGCUCACUGUUACAGAAGGUUCCCAGAGUGUCAUAGUGUUUACAAGGUGUUAGGACAUAUCAUGCUCACUGUUACAGAAGGUUCCCAGAGUGUCGUAGUGUUUACAAGGUGUUAGGACAUAUCAUGCUCACUGUUACAGAAGGUUCCCAGAGUGUCGUAGUGUUUACAAGUUGUUAGGACAUAUCAUGUUCACUGUUACAGAAGGUUCCCAGAGUGUCGUAGUGUUUACAAGGUGUUAGGACAUAUCAUGCUCACUGUUACAGAAGGUUCCCAGAGUGUCGUAGUGUUUACAAGGUGUUAGGACAUAUCAUGUUCACUGUUACAGAUGGUUCCCAGAGUGUCGUAGUGUUUACAAGGUGUUAGGACAUAUCAUGCUCACUGUUACAGAAGGUUCCCAGAGUGUCGUAGUGUUUACAAGGUGUUAGGACAUAUCAUGCUCACUGUUACAGAAGGUUCCCAGAGUGUCGUAGUGUUUACAAGGUGUUAGGACAUAUCAUGCUCACUGUUACAGAAGGUUCCCAGAGUGUCGUAGUGUUUACAAGGUGUUAGGACAUAUCAUGCUCACUGUUACAGAAGGUUCCCAGAGUGUCGUAGUGUUUACAAGGUGUUAGGACAUAUCAUGCUCACUGUUACAGAAGGUUCCCAGAGUGUCGUAGUGUUUACAAGGUGUUAGGACAUAUCAUGCUCACUGUUACAGAAGGUUCCCAGAGUGUCGUAGUGUUUACAAGGUGUUAGGACAUAUCAUGCUCACUGUUACAGAAGGUUCCCAGAGUGUCGUAGUGUUUACAAGGUGUUAGGACAUAUCAUGCUCACUGUUACAGAAGGUUCCCAGAGUGUCGUAGUGUUUACAAGUUGUUAGGACAUAUCAUGCUCACUGUUACAGAAGGUUCCCAGAGUGUCAUAGUGUUUACAAGGUGUUAGGACAUAUCAUGCUCACUGUUACAGAAGGUUCCCAGAGUGUCAUAGUGUUUACAAGGUGUUAGGACAUAUCAUGUUCACUGUUACAGAAGGUUCCCAGAGUGUCGUAGUGUUUACAAGGUGUUAGGACAUAUCAUGCUCACUGUUACAGAAGGUUCCCAGAGUGUCAUAGUGUUUACAAGGUGUUAGGACAUAUCAUGCUCACUGUUACAGAAGGUUCCCAGAGUGUCAUAGUCCUCUACACUCUCACAGAUCACCCUCCACUGGGAGAAGACAGAGUUGGGGCUGAGGCUGUUCAUAUCGAAGGCAGACCUGGCUCCUAGGAGGUCGUCAGUACACACGUCACACUCACUGCCGCCGAUGGCAAAGUUCCAGUAGGGGAGGGCAAAGGUGGCAUCGCCCAACAUGUCCUGGAGAGGAUGGAGAGAUGCAGGUGGAACCUGUGCCAGGUGACGAAUCCCGGUCCUUCGUGAGAGAAGUCCACACCCCCAAAGCUAGCCUGCCCCGCCCCCAUAUAUCCUCUGAUCACAGUUAGGUCCGGUGAGUCCAUGUCGGCACCGGACACAGUUAUACCCCGCAAAGUUCCCGUUACACUGGCACGUCCGGUUAAAGAACCUUAACGGCCAGCGCUCCCGGUCGUCCCGGCCAUCAUGUGGGUACUGGGGGCCGUGGCGGUGGCUGUCGACAGCUACGGAUACACACUGACCCCUCC